GACGAACGCUGGCGGCGUGCUUAACACAUGCAAGUCGAACGAAGUGGCGAACGGGUGAGUAAUACGUGGGUAACCUGCCCUCCUUUUUGGGAUAAGCCUUGGAAACGGGGUCUAAUACCGAAUAAAGGGGGGGGGGCUCGCGGCCUAUCAGCUUGUUGGUGGGGUGCUGGCCUGACAAGGCGGAGCCGGGUAGCCGGCCUGAGCGGGUGCCCGGGGACGUUGGGACGGCGAUACUGCCCAGGCGCGGCCGCGGGGCGGCAGUGGGGGAUAUGGACCAAUGUGCGAAAGCCUGAUGCAGCGUCGCCGAGUGGGGGAUGAGGGCUUUAGGGUUGUAAACCUAUUUCGCUAUCGAACGGGUAGGUAGCCAAGAAGCGCCGGCUAACUACGUGCCAGCAGCCGCGGUAAUUC
rnacentral:rRNA from 1 species